rnacentral:lncRNA from 1 species
AUCAGGACCACAGGAAAUCUGACUUCCCAGUGUGCCCUGAAACACACUGCUCAUGCUUAUUUCCAGCCAGCAUUAGCUCAGUUCUGUUUAUUUCCCCUCAACAGCUUUCUAGACUAUUCACUAUCAGAUAUUUGCUCCAUGUGGCUUAAGGAUUUGUUCAAGUGAAAGCUGCAGGGCAGAUGGGAAAAUGGGGUUAUUGGCACAACACUCCAUGACUGCCAGUGACACAUAAAAAGACAGAAAGCUAAUAACAAUAGUAACACAGUUUUUCCAUGCUAUACAGUUAAGAUGUACAAAAGCGUUAUAGUACCCAUGGCAUCUCACCUUGAAAAAGACCUAACUAAGCCUUGCUUGUGGCUAUGCUGCUCUUAUGUCUUGUGUGCCAGAGGAAGAAAACAAAAGAGAGAGCAAGAAAGAACAGAGGAUGGAUAGAACUAGGACAGGAGGAAAGAGGGAAAAUUAGAGUGGGCAGAG